GGAUAGGCGCUUCGGGGUACUCGAGCGGCGAACGGCGUGAGCAACACGUGCAGUAAUCUGCCCCAGGCUCUGGGAUAGCCACCGGAAACGGUGAUUAAUACCGGAUAUGACAACCGAUCACAUGAUCUGGUUGUGGAAAGUUUUUCGGCCUGGGAUGUGCUCGCGGCCUAUCAGCUUGUUGGUGAGGUAAUGGCUCACCAAGGCUUCUACGGGUAGCCGGCCUGAGAGGGUGACCGGCCACACUGGGACUGAGACACGGCCCAAACUCCUACGGGAGGCAGCAGUGGGGAAUAUUGGACAAUGGGCGGAAGCCUGAUCCAGCAACGCCCGUGAGGGAUGACGGCCUUCGGGUUGUAAACCUCUUUCAGCACAACGAAGCGAAAGUGACGGUUGUGCAGAAGAAGGACCGGCCAACUACGUGCCACUGCCGCGGUAAGACGUAAGGUCCGAGCGUUGUCCGGAAUUAUUGGGCGUAAAGGGCUCGUAGGCGGUUUGUCACGUCGGGAGUGAAAACCAGGUGCUUAACACCUGGCCUGCUUCCGAUACGGGCUGACUAGAGGUAUUCAGGGGAGAAUGGAAUUCCUGGUGUAGCGGUGAAAUGCGCAGAUAUCUGGAGGAACACCGGUGGUGAAUGCGGUUCUCUGGGAAUGACUUGACGCUGAAGAGCGAUAGUGUGGGGAGCGAACAAGAUUAGAUACUCUGGUAGUCCACACCGUAGACAUUGGGCGCUAGGUGUGAGACACAUUCCACGUGUUCCGUAGCACAGCUGACGCAUUAAGCUCCCAGCAGUGGAGUACAGCCGCAAGCUAAACUCGAUGAUUGACCGCA
rnacentral:rRNA from 1 species